CCCUCACCCUUUCUACACUUUCCUUCACUUCUCUCUCUAAAAAAAUCCUCUCACUUUCAGACACUUUCCCAUAUAACCCAUCUUCAAACGCAGAAAAUUUUCCCUUAAGAAGUGGAUUUCCUUACCCCAAAAACAUAUAGAUUCAUUUCUAAUCUCUCAAAUCUUCUUCACCAUUCAAUUGAAGAAACGGGUACAAAGAUUUUCCCCAGAAAAUCUGAUCCCUCUCUCUCUCUUCCUGAAUGCUCCAACUUAUCCUCAAAUAGAAAGUGGUUCUCUAACAACUGCAAAAAAAAAAAAAAAAAAAAAAAAAAAAAAACACUUUUCUUGGAAAUUCAGGAAAAGGGUUUGAAGAUUUUUUCGGGAAAGUGGAUUUCCUUACCCCAAAAACAUAUAGAUUCAUUUCUAAUCUCUCAAAUCUUCUUCACCAUUCAAUUGAAGAAACUGGUUCAAAGAUUUUCUCUAACAACUGCAAAAAAAAAAAAAAAAAAAAAAAAAAACACUUUUCUUGGAAAUUCAGGAAAAGGGUUUGAAGAUUUUCUCGGGAAAGUGAUUUCCAGAUUUGAAUUUUAAGAAAAGGCUAUGUGGAACAACAACAAGAUUUUUCCGGCAAGGGGGUUAAACAUGUUCAGGAUGUCCACCAGUAUAAUUCGUUCACUGAAAUGUUGGGGCCAGAGAGUCUUGCAAAGGUUCUUCCCGGAGUUGAAACCCUUGAAGAAGGUAACAACUGCUUUUUUAAUUUUUAAUUUUUUUAUUGUGUUUCACUUCUUGUAUGGUGAUAAAGUUUAUCCAUCUAGGCAAAAUGAAGUUAAUUGUUCUGUCAAAUAGCUGUAAAUAAUUUUGUGCUUGCAGCAGAAAAUAUUCCGGUGACAUUUUCAAGAUUCAAAACUUUGUUGUGCAUAAUAGUAAUAGGAACAGUGACUAAUAACAAUAGAAUUUACAAUAGUAAUAGACCCAAUUGAAUUUACAAUAUUAAUAGACCCAAUAAGUGGCUUAGAAUUUCUUUUUAAUUUGAUUAGGAUCAGUUGUUGUAACCCAAUAGAAUUGGUUUUGUUGUAUUAUAUGAGUCAGAGCAUUAGAUUUUGCUGUAGUAUAUCUUGCAAGGUGGUUUCCUUUGGGUAGUUUAGGUGAGGAACUAUUUUGCGUUAAAAUUGGUUGAUUGUAAUGGCUUGGAGUUUGUUUAGCACUUCUCUGUUUUGCAAUGCUAUUAUAAGUUCUUUAAAUAGUUCUAUGGUGAAAAUUGUUGUGCUUUCGUACCAUACUCAUGUUAGUAGUUUGUUUAUUAUUUGCAUUAUUCUUGUUAUGCAUUGUUCUUGAUAUGCCCAAAAGUCUUUGAGCUAAGUUCCUAAGAUUGUUUUGAGUUUAUGUGCUCUAUAGUAAGUUAAAUCUCAUGUAAACAAUUUUCAUGAACUCUUAUAAGCAGUCUCUCUUACCUUAUGAAGUUGAUGUAUCACUUGUUUGUUGCCCCAGUAGUUAUUUUCAUUUUGACUUACGUAUGAGAU